rnacentral:rRNA from 1 species
UCUUCCGCAAUGGACGAAAGUCUGACGGAGCAACGCUGCGUGAGUGAUGAUGGUUUUCGGAUCGUAAAAAUCUGUAGUUAGGGAAGAACAAGUACCGUUCGAAUAGGGCGGUACCUUGACGGUACCUAACCAGAAAGCAACGGCUAACUACGUUCCAGCAGCCGCGGUAAUACGUAGGUGGCAAGCGUUGUCCGGAAUUAUUGGGCGUAAAGCGCGCGCAGGCGGUUUCAUAAGUCUGAUGUGAAAGCCCCCGGCUCAACCGGGGAGGGUCAUUGGAAACUGGGGAACUUGAGUGCAGAAGAGGAGAGUGGAAUUCCACGUGUAGCGGUGAAAUGCGUAGAGAUGUGGAGGAACACCAGUGGCGAAGGCGACCCUCUGGUCUGUAACUGACGCUGAGGCGCGAAAGCGUGGGGAGCGAACAGG